AGACCCUAUAAUUCGGCCAAGGGAGUAAAAAUGGUUGAAAUUAAGACACAAAACAUUCCUAAAUACUCCUAUGGACGAAUCAAAACACAAAUCAAAGCCAAAUCCACCCAAAGGCAAGCCUUGAGAAGCCUAUAAAUACAAGUUCCUCUCACAAGCAUAGGGUCGAAAAUUUUGGCAUUUAGAAAAACCUUUGCCAAAUCUUUGAAGACUAAUACAUUGCCAAAGCUCUUUUCGAAGAACGGAUAACCAAAACCGAAGCUUUCUUUC
rnacentral:lncRNA from 1 species